AUGGAUCCACAGAGAAAUGAAAGAAUAGGUCGAGGAGAAGGAGGAGUAAGAGGAGGAGGUGUAAGUCGUCCUCAAGUGAUCGUCCUGCCGCCGUCCAGUGAAGAGAUUUCCAGCAAGAAGACAGCAACACUGAUGUGUGUGGCCAGCAAUGGUUUCCCUUCAGACUGGAGUCUGAGCUGGAAAGUGAAUGGGAAGAUGUCAGGAUCUCAGGAGAACAGAGCUGGAGUCCUACAGAAAGACGGCGGUCUGUACAGCUGGAGCAGCAGUCUGAUUCUCACUGAACAAGAAUGGAUCAACAGAGACUCAGUGAUCUGUGAGAUCAGUCGGGAAGGUCAGACAGUCACUGGAGAAGUGAAGAAAGAUCUGUGUUCUGAGUAG